CCUGAUAGCUCAUUUGGUAAAGAAUCUGCCUAUAAUGCAGGAGACCUGGGUUCGAUUCCUGGGUCAGGA
rnacentral:tRNA from 1 species